GAGGAAGUAAAGUCGUACAGGUUUCCGUAGGUGAACCUGCGGAAGGAUCAUUCAUAAUAAGUGUUUUAUGGCACUUUUUAAAUCCAUAUCCACCUUGUGUGCAAUGUCAGUUGUUCUCUUUUUUGAGAAUGACCAAACAUCAACUUAUUCUUUAACUCUUUGUCUGAAAAAUAUUAUGAAUAAAAUAAUUCAAAAUACAACUUUCAACAACGGAUCUCUUGGCUCUCGCAUCGAUGAAGAACGCAGCGAAAUGCGAUACGUAAUGUGAAUUGCAGAAUUCAGUGAAUCAUCGAAUCUUUGAACGCAUAUUGCGCUCUUUGGUAUUCCGAAGAGCAUGCUUGUUUGAGUAUCAGUAAACACCUCAAGACUUCAAUUUGUUUUGAAUGGCUUUGGACUGAGCAUCCCACACCAGUCUUUACGAUCGGUGGAGGGUUGCUUGAAAUGCAGGUGCAGCUGGACAUUCUCCUGAGCUAAAGCAUAUUAUUUAGUCCCGUCAACGGAUUAUACUUUUGCUGCAGCUAACAUAAAAGGGAGUUGACCGUAUUGGCUGACUGAUGCAGGAUUCACAAGGGUCGGCAACGAUCUGUACACUCGAUCUCAAUCAAGUAAGACUACCCGCUGAACUUAAGCAUAUCAUA
rnacentral:rRNA from 1 species